rnacentral:rRNA from 1 species
GACGAACGCUGGCGGCGUGCCUAAUACAUGCAAGUAGAACGCUGAAGGAGGAGCUUGCUUCUCUGGAUGAGUUGCGAACGGGUGAGUAACGCGUAGGUAACCUGCCUGGUAGCGGGGGAUAACUAUUGGAAACGAUAGCUAAUACCGCAUAAUAGCAGUUGUUGCAUGACAACUGUUUGAAAGGUGCAAUUGCACCACUACCAGAUGGACCUGCGUUGUAUUAGCUAGUUGGUGGGGUAACGGCUCACCAAGGCGACGAUACAUAGCCGACCUGAGAGGGUGAUCGGCCACACUGGGACUGAGACACGGCCCAGACUCCUACGGGAGGCAGCAGUAGGGAAUCUUCGGCAAUGGACGGAAGUCUGACCGAGCAACGCCGCGUGAGUGAAGAAGGUUCUCGGAUCGUAAAGCUCUGUUGUAAGAGAAGAACGAGUGUGAGAGUGGAAAGUUCACACUGUGACGGUAUCUGACCAGAAAGGGACGGCUAACUACGUG